GUUUGAAAUUGUGUUCAGUUGCAUUACAGUUUCAAUUGUUCACAAGAAGUAUUUGAUAAAGUCUUACAUUGGAAGUAACAGAAGGUGGAUUUUGGGAUAUUGGCAAUUGAAUGGCCAGACAAUUGAGUCUGGUGAACAUGUUGGCAAUCGAAAGUCUGCUUUCAAGCAAACGUGCAUGAGGUGUACAUUUAUAGCUGUUCAAACAACAUGUCUACUAUGACUGUCAUGACUCCCAAACUUGUCGUGUUCACCAUUGAUGUUAGAGAGCCUAUUGCUGAACUCUACUCAGAUGCAGCGAAUGGAAAUAACAACAAAUUGAAAGAAAUGAUCAACAUGCACCCUGCCAAAAGUGAAACACGAACAGGAUUACAUGAAUCUAUACGUUAACGCGUCAACGAGAGCACAAAUUCGCCAGUGAAGUGGUCGUUUUUCUAGGCCUUCGAACCACGACUGCCGGUCAGGGUUAUUAUUUCAAGAGGGUUUUCGAUGUCAGAAGAGAUGUUACAUUUA